CAUAUGCUGUGGAGAGAAUAAUGAGUUAUCCAGAUGAAAAAGAUAUUUGAACCCUGACUUUCCUUAAAUAUAUUCUUUUAGUUCCAAAACUAGAUUCUAUUCAACUUAGAGCAAAAGUAUCCUUCCAUCUCAAGGCAGAAGGGAUGGAGGAAGAAUAAAAUAUUAGUAACAUCAAUUCACAGUGAGAGGGAGGGGACAUUUCCUAGGAUCAGAACUGACAAAGGAAUUGAAUUCUUUGUUCUUGAUCCAUUUUGAAAAUGAAUGCAUGCUCACCCCACAAUCCAGCUAUUUCCCAGUUAGUUAAAAGGCCAGUUGUAUCUCUUGGUCCAAAGGCAAUACAAUGACCUAAGUUCUCAUGGGUCUGUUUCUCCUCCAGGAUCACCAGGGGCAAAAUGAUUUUCAAACAGCCAAUCUUCAAACACUGCAUGAAGUGACAGUCUUCCUGGGUUAGAGGGGAAACAUCCAUCAGCUAGGCUUGAUGUGAAGUCCUCAGAAGGAUGACUCAACUAGUAUAUGAGGAGAAUUCCAUCGAUACAACAUACCUGAACUUCAGCAAGACAUUUGACAGUGUUUCUCGGAAUAAUUAUGUGGGCAAGACAAGGGCAGCUUGGUGACACUAAUAAGACAGUUUCACAAAGGUAAAUUCAGAAUUGGUUGAAUGACCAGGCUCAAAGAACAGUGACUCUGUAAUAGAACAGUAGUAGAAUCCAUCAACAGUGAGUUGUUGCCAACCUGGAGGGAUGCUGCUAAUGCAACAUCAUAGGGCUCUGUCCUCGGCUCUGUUCUCUUCAGCAUUUUUCUCAUGGAACCAUGAAAAAUAACCAUGUAGUCAUGCUUAACACAUUUAUCACAGAUUUGCAGAUGAUAUGAAAUUGGGAGCAGCUGCUAACCUAUUGGAUGAAAGAACCAGGAUCCCAAAAGGUCUCUACUGGCUUGUGAAAUAAGCACAAUCUAAUUAGAUGAAAUCUAAAAGGGAUACCUGCAAAAGUCACAAACUUGCAUUAAAAAAAAUACAUUGUAUAAGUGCAGGAGUUGAGUAGAGUAUAUUACAUGAUAGUUUCAGUUUAAGAAAAAAAAAGACCUGGAGAUUUUAAUGGAUUGUAAGCUCAAUGUAAGUCAACAGUGUGACAUGGCAGCUCCCCCCCCCACC